GUUUAUGUACACUCCUAUUAAUUUUUAGUCAUAUAAAUCAUUAAUUAAUGUGAGAGGGGAAAAAUUGAUUGUAUAUCUCAAACUUUUUAAAGCAAAGACUGAAUCUUUUUAAUACAUAGGCUGAGUCUUUGAUACGUUGACUCUCUCAAAAGCCUAGACCAGGGAGAACAGAAGCAUCCAGUGGUACAACUAUAUACAAGAUGUUGGGUAUUAUACAGCAAAUCUUAACAAAGGGACUUUUCAAAGUUAACCCAAUUAUCAAAUAAUGUGAUGAUAACAAUAACUAUCUAUUGUCUUCUUGAACCCUAAGACAGCAGGAACCUCAUAUUUCCACUAUAGAGCCUUUAUUUCCCCCAGUCCUGGAACCUUAGGGUGGGGCACACUUUCCUGCAUGCUUCUUUCAAUUCAUACCAAAUGAUAUUGCAUCCGCCAACUGCAACCUGAUAAACGCAAAGAGUGCCAUCCCAGCAUGCUUCACUUCAGACUGUGUCCAGAGACUUAAGGUGCAGAAUGACAACCCUUCAGCUUCAUUACUAGGACAAAAUGGAAGCACACAGCACAGGAAGCAGUCCUCAGUAAGCCACCGUUCAUAAACAGCUUUGCUGAAGGCAUAACAAAGGUUCUGUUGUGCUCUUGCAUGGCAGGGCCAGUAAGCAGCAGGAGCAGAUGAACUCUUUAAGAAACAAAGGUUCUGUCUUCAUGCAAAUGUUUGCAUUAAUAAAAAAUGAAGAAAAAGAUAUAGAAACUGCAGGCUAGCUGGACAUAAUAGGACUCUAAACAGGAGGUUUUUCACAUUUUCAGGGGGAGUCAGCAGGUCUUUUAAAAACUUUGUCAUUCUGAGCAUUUCACAGACAUCACAAGAAAGACAUGCAAAUAACAGAAGCAAAUCAAAGGACAUCCCGCUGCUCUGCUGGCGCCUCCCUCAUCCAUGCCUGGUUUGUCAUUUUCUGUUAACCCCAGUCCUGGCUGCGGUUUUGUUGAGGAAUGGAGUCCCUAGCCUGCGUAGCUGCACAUGCCCAGCCAGUUGGCCUCUGGACUGAUGGCAUUACAAUGCAGGCCAUGUACUACCACUCAGGGACACGUGCUGCCAGGCAACAAGUCCAGUGUGUGGUUUUUACAUACACGGCUCACAAAUCUGUAUGGGAAAGAACCUCUAAACCAGCCACUUAAUAAGAUACAGUCUUCUUCCCCCAUGCAUGGGGACUUGAACCCAGGUCCUUGUUCACUGUAGGAUGUGGGUUCAGCUAGAUGUUCCACCACUGGGCCCAUUUUUUCUAUUGAUCAUGUAAUUUGAUCUAUUUUGUCAAAUUUAAAUAAAACAAGCCUUAAUAAAACUAAAAAUAUGAAGAAUACAA